rnacentral:rRNA from 1 species
AACGAACGCUGGCGGCAUGCCUAACACAUGCAAGUCGAACGAGACCUUCGGGUCUAGUGGCGUAAUUGUGCGUAACGCGUGGGAACCUGCCCUUAGGUUCGGAAUAACUUCCCGAAAGGGGUGCUAAUACCGGAUAAUGUCUUCGGACCAAAGAUUUAUCUCCUUUGAAUGGGCCCGCGUUGGAUUAGCUAGUGGUUAGGGUAAAAGCCUACCAAGGCGACGAUCUAUAGCUGUUGUGAGAGGAUGAGCAGCCACACUGGGACUGGGACACGGCCCAGACUCCUCCGGGAGGCAGCAGUGGGGAAUAGUGGACAACGGGCGAAGGCCUGAACCAGCAAUGCCGCGUGAGUGAUGAUGGUCUUAGGGUUGUAGAACUGUUUUACCUGGGAUGAUAGUGACAGUACCGGGAGAGUACGCACCGGCUAACUCCGUG